CUCCUGUAUUACAUUUGCCAUCUGAGUCGCAAGAUUCUCCAGUAGCACAGUCGCCACUGUAGCUACACGAUUUUCCAAUACAAGUUGUCGCACAUUUCUUAUCAGAACUACCACAGCAAGUUUCACCCGGCGCACAGUUGCCAUCAAAGGUACACGAUUUUUCAACACAAGUUGUGGCACAUUUCUUAUCAGAAUCACAACAAGAUUCACCCGGGGCACAGUCGUUAUUGAAGAUACAAGACUGACCAAUGCAACUGUACCGACACACAUUGUCUUCAGGAUACUUUCUGUCACAGCAAUACUGUAAGCCCGAACAGUCAGAGUUAGAAGAACACUCAUUCGCU